CCAAACACUUGUCAUCACUAGCCAGAGCUAACUUGUCUGUGCGGCUAACAUAGACUCUGGCCAUGGCAGCUAUAUAUAAACCUAGCUAAACUUGUUCAACAGUUUGCCGCGAUCGUCCAUGGUUAACGAGGAUGGACUGAACCGCCCUACUCAUGUAUGAAUCUCCAUCGUCUCUGGUACUUAAGUGUUUGCGUUUCCGCAGAGCCGUACUUUGAACCCUAAAUUUCUCGCCGCCACAUGUUGACGCCGCGUGUUUCCCUAACACCGGCUACAUCUCCUUGAGCGUCAUGGCCAGAUGCCGCCUCGGCCCCAGCCGCCACCGGCGGCGUACAAGCACUUCUGCAGAGUCUGCAACAAGGGGUUCACGUGCGGCAGCGCGCUCGGCGGGCACAUGAGGGCCCACGCCGUCGCCGACGACGGCCCGGGCGCCGACGACGACGACGACGAUCCCGGGUCGUCCGCGCGCGGCGGGGAAGAUAGGCCGUCCACGGCGGGAGCAGCGACGACGCACGUCUACGCGCUCCGGGCGAACCCUAACCGCCUCACCAGGGGCUGCCAGGUGUGCAAGAACUGCGGGAAGGAGUUCUCGUCUAUGGAGCUUUUCCUGGAGCACGGCAAGUGCACCUCGGGCGAAGAGGAGGACUCGGACGGCUCGCCGCCUCCGUCCGUGGCCGGCGAAGAGGAGGACGCGUCGCUGGCCUCUGGGUGGUCAAAGGGGAAGCGCUCGCGCCGCGCCAAGUCGAUCGCUGGCGGAGGCGAUGAUACAAUGCCCGGGCCGUCGACGGCGCCGUCUGGCGAGGACGAGGAGGAGGACUUGGCAAAUUGCCUCGUCAUGCUCUCGUCGUCCAAGGCCGAUCAGGCUAGUGCCGCCGCCGAGGCCGACCCAGAGCCGUGCGCGCCGGCCAGCAAGGAACACGGGAGAAGGCCUCAUCAACAGCCGCAACACUUCCCGAUCGUCGUAGCGACGCCAGAUCAAGCGAUAAUGCUGCCCCUGGCGUUGCCAGCACCGCAACCGCAAUACGCCUCGCCCCUGCCACGUGGCUUGUUCGAGUGCAAGGCAUGCAAGAAGGUGUUCACUUCGCACCAAGCUCUCGGCGGACACCGUGCCAGCCACAAGAAGGUCAAGGGCUGCUUCGCUGCCAAGCCCGAGAGCAGCGUCGGUGGAACACCUCACCACCACGCAGCGGCCGCCGGUCCCAGCGAUGAAAAGGGUGAUGCCGCCGCCGUCGAUGUCAUCCAUGCAAGUGGCAGUGUUGAUGCCAGGACAAACGCCGAUGCCAGCACCGGUGGCGACACGAACGCCGGGACGAGCGGGGCCACGCCAUCCCUGUCAAUGGCCAUCACGACCACCGACCAUGAACCGCCGGUCGCGGGGUUGGCCAUUGCACCGUUCAAGAAGAAGGCCAAGAUGCACGAGUGCUCCGUGUGCCACCGCCUCUUCGCCUCUGGUCAAGCGCUCGGAGGCCACAAGCGGUGCCACUGGCUCACCUCGGGGACAGGGGAUCACGCCAACAUCACAUCCCUGACAGCCGAAGGCCUUGUCGCCGCUGCUGGCCACCAGCUCACUCUCCGGCCAAUGAUGGACCCUCCAGAGCCGGCGCUAGACCUCACCAUCGCGGCCAACCCGUUGCCGUUGAUGGCCAGCGCGACGGUCGCCGAGGCCGGAACCAGCUCGCUGCACCUUGACGCGUCCCCGUCGCUGUACCUCCAGCCAGCGGCGGCACCAAGCAAUCCCAGCCACCAGAACAAGAUGACCGCGACGAGCAGCCACAACGCUAACGACGCUGCUACUCCCCGCGAGGCCGCCGAGGACGAGGCGGACAGCACAGCCGUCAAGAAGGCCAAGCUUAGUGAUCUCAAGGACGUGAGUGCAGCGGGGGAGACGACGCCAUGGUUGCAGGUCGGCAUUGGCUCCUCGUCGGCCGGUGGCGACGGGAAGAGUGCCUGCGAAUGAGCCUCCCCGCGUCGAGUAGAGCUGGCAGCUUCAGCACUGAAGUGACUGAACCGGAACCGACGCGUUGAGAUGGUACAUAGUAGAAAGAGAAAGCUCGAGAUUUUGUUUUGUUCAUGAAGAUGUCGAAUGAGAGGAACUACAAGAAGUCCUAAAAAUACUUGAGGUGCAGCAACAUCACUUAACCUGUUCUUGUUGCCCUAGAUGAUUUAUCAUCCUUGCUGGACCCUCUUGACAAGGAUUCUUAUGAAGACUCGUUGUUGGAGGUUCCUUGCAAUGCAUUCACCAAGAGGCAGAACUUCUUUGCUGCCCCCACCAUCUCUACAAUAAUAUGGCGUGCAAUGCUCAUAGAGUUUUUAGCAUGAAAGGUAAUAUUUGCUUUGUGUUAUUUGAUGGAGAUAAACCAAUAAUCGAGUGCAUAUUCAAAGAAAUAACAACUGAGGUAUAAGGAAUUUCAAAAAAGAAGAAGAGAGACAUGGUAAAAGCAGUUGACAAUGCUACUUGAUGUGCAUGUAGAUACAAGUAUAUGUUAAACCUGAUUGGUGUUGAGCCACUAGAGUAUGUAUGUCCCUGUAGCAACACACGGGCAAUUACCUAGUAUAGACAAGAAAAGGAUUGCUCGGAAAGCAAUACCAAACAUCCAAACGGUAGCAU